ACCGCUGAGGCGCUGACCAUCAGGAGCGCCGGAGAGGAGACAAAUAAGGAAUUCUAUUGUCUCCAUUUCUUGCAGUUCCACAACAGAGUUACUCUUUCCGGCUUUUGGUUGUGUUGUGUUUAUAAAUCAUCGACGUCGAACUUACAAGAGACCAUCUAAAGAAAUCACAUGUACGUGCGAAUUUGUCUUCACAAAGACCUUCGGAGUCAGAUUUAGGAUGUGCCUGCGAGGUGGAAUUCUACUCUGUUACAACGAAUAGCUGAAGUGAAAGAUGCAGUGAAGACUAGCACCAAGCACUGUGAAUUUCGAACAACUGACAGAGGAUGAGUGGAACAUCUGCUUGGAACGCUGUUGUGUUUUGAAACUAGUUGAGCAGGUUUCAACACAGCUUAGUGCAGAGUCCUAUCCUGCUGGCAGCCAAGUGUACAAUACUUGGCAAUGCUGUGUACUGGCGCCGAGGCAGAAGUUCUCAAGGUAUUUGCGUCACAUCCCCAGGUGGUUCCGAUAACUAGUCAUAUAUGCAGCAGUCUGUGAAGCAGUCUGACAGUGUGCAGAAGUUCUGUGAAUGAAAUGCUCAGUAGUAGUGAUCUGUUUGUAUGAAGUGAUAAAGAAAUAUGUUGCAGUGUAGUUGCAUAUGUAAUUGUGUGUAUAUUUCAUCAUUGUUUUUGCCAGUUGCAAGAUCUGUUUUUGUGGAAAUCAAAUAACAUUGUACAAUAGGGGCUAACUGAUUGAGGCGGUGCAGCUGCUAAUGGCACUGACCUCAUGUGCAGGAGGAUGGGCUUCACACUGUCCGGCCAUCCUGAUUUGGGCUUUCCGUGGUUUUCCUGGACACUAAGGCAAAUGGCUGGGAUGGUUCCUUCAGCAUUCUUAUAGAGAUCCUGUGUGUGUGUGUGUGUGUGUGUGUGUGUGUGUGUGUGUGUGUGUGUGUCAUGCUGAAUUACAGAGCAAAUACUUUGUUGGUCCCACUGAAUAGGCCAUGGCCAAGUACCUGCUCCAUCCUUGGCCAGAGUUUGUACUCAGCAUCUUAACUCUGUUUAUUCAUUCUCUUUGUAAUAGCAUAAUAUGUUUUAAACCCUCCAUAUCGUUGUGGAAAACAGUUGAAAUAAAAUUGUUAUCUCAUAAUGUA